GGGUGUGUAGCUCAACAGGUAGAGCAAUUCUCUUAUCAAGAAUCGGUUGACAGUUCGAGUCUGUCCAUGCCUA